CUUGACCUUCCAACACUAUUCCAGACCACUCUAAUGAUACAGAUGCUCUGGUCAGAUCCCACUUGAGAUGCAUUACCAGCCACAGAUGGGAUCAGACCUGAGCCAAGCUCUGGGCACACAUGCUCCUCUAAAUCAGAGCAUCUUCCUCUUCACCAUAGUGGAUGCCUGAGGAUGGACUUCAACUUCAUCCUGUUUGUCACAUCAGCCAGUUGAAAGCCAAUGUCUGGAAUCUUCAGGUGAUAAAGGUACCACAGAGACAGGUGGCGUAUCUCCAAUCAAUAAUUAAGGCCUGAAGGAAGAGAAGGGUUGCUUAUCCUCAUCUCCAGCCCAGGCAAAAUAGCACUAAAAAGGAUCUCUGAGAGCUUGACAUUUGUCUUCUGAAGUUUGAGGGUGAUGAACUUUUAUGAACUAUAACAUUAAAGCCCUACUUCUGGCCACAUCUCUCUAUCAAUAAUGAAGACUGCACCUCUUAUAUGUUGGCUCUGCUAGCCACAUUCUCAACCUGACCAUAAGCUUUGUGGAUUUAUAAAC